rnacentral:lncRNA from 1 species
CUCCAGGCCCACCCAAGGCUUCCCCAGCCUCUGGUCCCUUCCCUGCUCCUCAGUCACCGCCUCUCUGGGGAUCUCGACAGUAGAUGAAGUGACAAGUCUUUGUGCUUAAUUAAGACACAUUGUCCCACCAAUUGGGAAGUGGGAAAUGGCUGGGCUGUUUUACAAAUAGAAACAAUUCUUGUUCAUUAUCCCUUAAUUGAGGCAACAAAGGGUUCUGGAAAACAUCCAUCAGAAACACAUUCAUGUACAUCAUCAGAGGGGAUUGGGUUGAGGAGGACACAAAAGCCACAGCAAAUGUUCCAAUCAGGAACGACACAGACAAAGGGAAAAGAGGGCCCCAGAGCCCAAAUGCUGCAGAAUUAGCCCAAUUACACAGUUGAUGUGGUGGGGAACAAGUCUUCUGGCUUCUGGCCACCUCGUCUCUUAGCCUCUUUUUACCCCUCCAACUUCCUUGUAUCAGAUAGAGAGGAGCAAGGAAGAAACCUCCCAGACGCCCUGUAAGCCUGGCUCUGGUUCCCAGGAUGGAGACAGGACGGGCUGACAGAGGGCCCUGGAGGGCGAAAGUUGUCAUCUGAAUCCCAGAUAUGGCCUGCCUGUAAUCGCCACCUCCCUCUUUCUUGUCAGUAUGCUCCUUGUGAUAUGACCUCAGAUACCAAGCAGCUCUAUCUCAGUGGUUUUAUGGUCAGCUUGUGGCUCAAGUCCUUAAGCUAUUUUUAUGUGACUUUUUGUUUUCAGGCUGGAUCUCCCCCAUCCUAUAUUCAAUUAUACAAUUAUAUUUUGGAGUCCAAGUUACAAGUUUGCAGUCACCCAUUUGUCCCAGCCUGUUUGUCUCGUCACUGCAUGGAGGAGACCCAGAGAGAGCUGCGUGGGCCCCGACCGCGGAAGCACCGGGGACUUGGCCCUGCCGGUGUGGAUCCCAGCCCCACGGCUCGUGAGCGGAGAGCCCCUGACCCACGACCUGACCGAGUCUCCGCUUCUACACUUGCAAAAUGGUCAUAAUAAUCUCUCUCAGAGCCUGGGCCGGGAUCGAUGGAGAUAAUGGAGGUGAGAAUGCUUGGCUCGGGAGAAA